CUUUUCUUUGCUGGCGACCGGCGCACGGGUGAGUAACACGUAUCCAACCUGCCCUUUACUCGGGGAUAGCCUUUCGAAAGAAAGAUUAAUACCCGAUGGCAUAAUGAUUCCGCAUGGUUUCAUUAUUAAAGGAUUCCGGUAAAGGAUGGGGAUGCGUUCCAUUAGGUUGUUGGUGAGGUAACGGCCCACCAAGCCUUCGAUGGAUAGGGGUUCUGAGAGGAAGGUCCCCCACAUUGGAACUGAGACACGGUCCAA
rnacentral:rRNA from 1 species